UGAACGCUAGCGACAGGCUAACACAUGCAAGUCGAGGGGUAACAGGGUAGCAAUACCGCUGACGACCGGCGCACGGGUGAGUAACGCGUAUGCAACCUGCCUAUAACUGGGGAAUAGCUCCCUGAAAGGGGAAUUAACACCGCAUAACACUAUUGAUUCGCAUAGAUUAGUAGUUAAAUGUAGCGAUACAGGUUAUAGAUGGGCAUGCGUGACAUUAGCUAGUUGGUGAGGUAACGGCUCACCAAGGCUACGAUGUCUAGGGGUUCUGAGAGGAAGGUCCCCCCACACUGGUACUGAGACACGGACCAGACUCCUACGGGAGGCAGCAGUGAGGAAUAUUGGUCAAUGGGCGCAAGCCUGAACCAGCCAUGUCGCGUGCAGGAAGAACCUGCCCUAUGGGUUGUAAACUGCUUUUAUAGUAGAAGAAACACAUCUACGCGUAGAUGUCUGCCAGUAUACUAUGAAUAAGCAUCGGCUAACUCCGUGCCAGCCGCCGC
rnacentral:rRNA from 1 species